GGCUCGGCGGCGGACUCCUGCUUCCUGCUCCAUCCCCGGCUGGGCCUGGGGCGGUGAGUGAUCCAGGGAGGGAGUCUGAGGCUACACCUCACCAGCUGCUGAGGGGCGUGGAGGGGGGCUCGCCUGCCUACCCGACGUUGUCCACGCCAGGUCCAGGCUCUCGCCCUGUAGGAGCCCCGGGUCUUGCUGAGCUGUGGGGAGAUGCAGUUUCUAUACCACCCUCGGUAUAGAGUGCAUCAUCUUAGUCAAUUUUCUUGCUCCUUAGUGGUGGUCCCCGGGUUUCAGCUUAUCUCUGUGACCCUAUGACCGCUGCACCCUGAUUAAGGCCUGGAGCACCGCGAGGAAGAACUGGUGUCAGCCCCACCGGUGCGGUCAUGUUCCUAUUAAUAAACCCAGGAGGAAACUCGCACAUCUCACAAUGGCAUUUAGUCAUAGCACCUUAGCAUUCCAAGGCCUUUGGGGUCACUUGUACAGGAGAAAGGAGACUGGGUGGGAAACAGUUUUUUUUUUUUUUUUUAUAUAAAAACAUAGCUAAGAAUGAUCUCUCCUUCAAUCACACUAUCUACUGCAAGUGAGCUCUGCAGUUAUGUGUUUUGUAAUGAAUGUAGAAAUAAAAUCUGUAGUCAAAACUUAUAAAUUUUACUUCCUAAUGACAUUAUUUCUGAUAUGGUUUUAAGUUAGAGAGAUGAAGUGUACUCCUACAAUGUUUAGAUCCUUAAAAAUAUAAAUGAGCAAUAGCAGUGUCUGUAAAUACCUAAAUAUUUCUAUUAAAACGGUGUAUAUUCAAAUAGUAAGCAGGUACUUUGCUUAAUGGAACAAAAGAUGUUAAAGAGCCUGACACAGUGGCUCAUGCCUGUAUUCCCAGCCACUUCGGAGACUAAGGCAAGAGGAGUGCAAGUUUAAGGCCAGCCACAGAAUCUUUGGGAGACCCUAUCUCAAAAUAAAAGAUAAAGGACUGGGGCUGGGGUUGUGGUUCAGUGGUAGCAAGCUUGCCUGGCACGCAUAAGGCACUGGGUUCAAUUCUCAGCACCACAUAUAAAUAAAAUAAAGGUCCAUCAACAACUUUAAAAUAUUUUUGUAAAUUUAUUUUUUAGUUUUAGGUGGACACAACAUCUUUAUUUUAUUUUUAUGUGGUGCUGAGAAUCGAACCCAGUGCCUCACCCAUGCUAGGCGAGCAUGAUACCACUUGAGCCACAUCCUCAGCCCACAACUUUAAAAUAUUAAAAAAAUAAAAAUAAAAAAAUAAAGGACUGGGGGAGUAGCUUAGGUACAGUGCCCCAAGAUUCAAUCCCUGGGACCAAAAAACAAAAGCAAAACAAAAAGAUGUGAAAGACUAAUACCUCCUCACUCCAGUCUGGUUUUUCUUCCACUGAAAUGCAGAAUUCUUUGUAGGGGAUGGUCCACCAGCUGGCUGACUUGGGGUUUCUAUUGAAAACUCUUUAAGCGGUAGGGGGAACUCCUACUGCCUUACACUAUGUUAAUUACUGAAGGAUUUACAGAUUUAUCCAGUAAUAACUCCUACCAUUCUCCCUCAAAAUAAUCUUUUCAUGAUACUGCUGUCAAUGUUAUGACAGUUUUCAGCAUUAAGGGAUGUGUUUUGUGCUUCUCCCCAUUGAGUUUUACUUAUUUUACAACUUAUCCAUUUUUUUUUAGCCCAUGUAUUUUUACAUCUCAUUUUUGAAGCCAUUAAACCUUGAAAUAGAAAGGUUCCCAGCAAAAUUCCCCUUGGGAUUCUGCAUAGUCUUUUCCUUGAGGUUGAUCCCAAAUCUAUAAGCCAAGAAGAGUCUGCUGUUCUCAAACUAAAAUAAGAAAAGUCCACAAUUUUCUAAUUUGCUGAGUAAAAUGUAGUUGGA
rnacentral:lncRNA from 1 species